UGAUGAUGGCAGCAGCAGCCGUUCUUCUCUGGGCGAGAUCCAGGCUUUCCAGGAAGUCCACUUCAUAUUCCUCAAUGCAGAAACUGCACAAGUUAAAACUGAAGCCACAAUGAAACAAUUUCCUCCGCCACUAGAGCCUGAGAGUAGAGUCACACCAGCACGCUCCACUGGGUCCUGUGAAAGGAUGCCCAGUUAGUGUGAAAGGCUGCCUGAGGGUCCCAGUGCACAUGUGUGUGGAUUGUCGUCGUGUGGGGCUCCAGGCAAUAAAAGUUCAAGAGUCUUCUUCGAAUUCUUUCUACUAUUGCAGUCUCUGGGUUGCAUUCAAAACCAAGCUGGGUGUGGCCUGUAUGGAUCCCUGCCUCCUGUACCUGCCUCGGGCCGAGCCUACCAUCCUCUCACCCGGGCAGCGCACCUGGAGUUAAUUCAUGGCAACCAACAGAGGGUAUUUAUGGCCAGCUUCACCGUCGCCUUAACGCCAGUUCGUCAACCCACCUAAAUCCACUGGCCCACUAUGCCACGACACCACCACUAAGAUUCACGUUUUGGAUUCUGGUCACAAACCCUCAUAAGAUUUUCAGCCACACUCCAGGGAGUAUCACCAACCGCACUGACCUGCCUGCCUUCCUUCCAUCACCACCCACGCGAGUCCUGGAAUACUCAGGUCAGACCUUCUUAACACUCCUCUGCCAGUCACUCGGACCUCUGCCUCCCCCUCCAAGCCUCAGCCUCCUCCUGCCCAAUGCACCAGUCGCCGCUUAUGUCAUGUACCUCGGGCUACCGCGCUACAAUUCUCUACCUAGUAUUAUAUUGUGUAUCAAGAUA
ensembl:lncRNA